rnacentral:rRNA from 1 species
ACGGGUGAGUAACGCGUGAGAACAUGCCUUUAGAUUGGGGACAACAGUUGGAAACGACUGCUAAUACCGAAUGUGCCUUAGGGUGAAAGAUUUAUUGUCUAGAGAUUGGCUCGCGUCAGAUUAGCUAGUUGGAGUGGUAACGGCACACCAAGGCGACGAUCUGUACUUGGUCUGAGAGGAUGACCAGGCACACUGGAACUGAGACACGGUCCAGACUCCUACGGGAGGCAGCAGUGGGGAAUUUUCCGCAAUGGGCGAAAGCCUGACGGAGCAAUACCGCGUGAGGGAGGACGGCUUUUGGGUUGUAAACCUCUUUUAUCAGGGAAGAAUCGAUGACGGUACCUGAUGAAUCAGCAUCGGCUAACUCCGUGCCAGCAGCCGCGGUAAUACGGAGGAUGCAAGCGUUAUCCGGAAUUAUUGGGCGUAAAGCGUCCGUAGGUGGUUUAUCAAGUCUGCUGUCAAAGCGUGCGGCUUAACCGCAUAAGGGCAGUGGAAACUGAUGAACUAGAGUGCGAUAGGGGUAACAGGAAUUCCCAGCGUAGCGGUGAAAUGCGUAGAUAUUGGGAAGAACACCAGCGGCGAAAGCGUGUUACUGGGCCUGCACUGACACUGAGGGACGAAAGCUAGGGGAGCGAAAGGGAUUAGAUACCCCUGUAGUCCUAGCCGUAAACGAUGACAACUAGGCGUGGUUCGUAUCGACCCGAGCCGUGCCGUAGCCAACGCGUUAAGUUGUCCGCCUGGGGAGUACGCACGCAAGUGUGAAACUCAAAGGAAUUGACGGGGGCCCGCACAAGCGGUGGAGUAUGUGGUUUAAUUCGAUGCAACGCGAAGAACCUUACCAAGGCUUGACAUCCUCGGAACCCUGAUGAAAGUUASGGGUGCCUUCGGGAGCCGAGAGACAGGUGGUGCAUGGCUGUCGUCAGCUCGUGUCGUGAGAUGUUGGGUUAAGUCCCGCAACGAGCGCAACCCACGUUUUUAGUUGCCAGCAUUCAGUUGGGCACUCUAGAGAGACUGCCGGUGACAAACCGGAGGAAGGUGUGGAUGACGUCAAGUCAGCAUGCCCCAUACGCCUUGGGCUACACACGUACUACAAUGCGUCGGACAAAGAGCAGCCAGCCAGCGAUGGUGAGCCAAUCUCAUAAACCGACGCUCAGUUCAGAUUGCAGGCUGCAACUCGCCUGCAUGAAG